GGUCUGGGGUCGGCUGGGCCUUUGCCUGCUGCUUGGUGCCCAGUGCAUGCCCACAGGUUAAUGGUCAGUCUGGUCAGCCUGUGUCCUAGGGGAUGGAGGUGUCAGGUCUGGAUGAAGAGCUGGGUAGGGGGGCUCAGCGCUGCUCUGAGUUGGGGGUGACUAGAAGGGACCUGGGCUGCCCCCACACUGGCAGUGCUCCAACUCAGCUCUGAGCCCCUCCUUCCUUCCUGCCGCCACCCCCACACCUGGCUCUCAUCUCACCACCUCACACCUGGGUUCUUGCAAAAGCCUGGCCUCCUACUGGGUUCUGCGCUCUGCACACAGUAGGUACCCUCUACACACACCAGGCCCUUGACUUGGGAGUGGACAGGGAGGCCCCCAGACAGCACCCCCUUGAUGACUCCAUUGAUGAAGCUGGCUGGUGCCCACUCCUAGGGGAGAGCAUGCAGGCCCAGUAGCCUCCCCUUCUCUCCCCGUGGUGAGAGAAUCUGGGAGAACAGGGCCUGGGGAGCAGUGACUGGACAGCCCUGGAGAGCUCUGCCGACCAACCCUUGGGCGCAAACUGUGCCCCUGCUGAGCCCUGCCUUGCUGGGACUCAACCGUGAGGCCUGUGGCUCGGAGGCUGGUGGGGACCAUCUGGCUGUGCUAGUGUAAACAGCUGUGGUGGCUGGAGAUGGCCACGCUGGACGGUGCGGAGCUGAGAUAGGCCCUCGAAGUGCAACGGGAGGCGCGGCCUGCACAGUUGUGGCUCCGUUCUGCGGUUUAGGGUCACCAGGUAAAGUGCAGGAUGCCCAGCUGAAUCCGAAUUGCACGUAGACCAUGACUGUUCUUAGCGUGAGUGUGUGCCAUGUAAUAUUUGGGACACUGUUGAAGACAAAUACUAAACAAGCCUCUGUUCUUUAUCUGAAAUUCGAGGCUUAACAGCCGCCCUGUAUUUCCAUCGGUGGAUCUGGCUGCCCUGUUCACGCACCGGCCCAGGACAGCCUGUGUCUGGACGAGGCCUGCGGUCGGCGGUUGACUGGUCAGUGGGAGGCUGCUGUUGGGCCUGGUGGUCUCGAGGACAAGUGGAGUCUUGGCUAAGGACACAGAGGCUGUGAACUUGCCUGCUCUGGCUGCCCUCAGGACCCCCCACCCCCUGGCUGCCCAGAAAACAGACUGGAGGCUGGAAACUGGCCCCUCUGAGCACAGGCCACAGGCGAGGCUGCCUGCCGGGUCCUGCCCUCCCACAGGCCCUGUCUCUAUUCCGCCUGCCUUCCUUCCGGCCAUCGCUGAGCAUAGGAGCAUCCCGGGGGUCCGUGUCCAGGCAGCCAGCUGAUGCAGGAGGGCACCCCAACCGCGUGGAAGCUGCCUACAAGUCCGGGCCCGUCGUGCUGCGCUGGCCCAGGGUCAAGGCCGAGAUGCAGCGGGGUCUCUGCGGGGGCCACCAGCACCUCACUUGGACCCCCUGGCUUCUCAGCUUUCCUGAGGGGCUCCAAGAGGGGCAGGUGCGGUGUGGGAUGCCAAGGCCCCCAUCCAAUCGCGGCCCCAUUGACAUCCUCAGCUGGGCUCCUUUGGGGCCUCCUCUGGCCAGCCGGCUGGUGGGCAGCCCCUGGCUACAGGCGCCCGCCUCCACUCUCAUCUGGACACCUCCUGACACUGGGGCCCUGAGGAGCCCCCACCUCCCUCCUGCCCACAGCCCCUGCGCGGCUGUCUGGCCAGGGGGUGAGAGGUGUGUCUGUUCUCGCCUGGCCGGGCGGAGGGCAGGGAAGGGGUGAGAGGUGCGUCUGUUCUCGCCUGGCCGGGCGGAGGGCAGGGAAGCGGUGAGAGGUGCGUCUGUUCUCGCCUGGCCGGGCGGAGGGCGGGGAGGAUUCCCAAGCUUUGCUGCCUGAAGGUUCCCGUGUGAUCUGCAAAUGUCGAUCGUGUUUGGUUACAUUUAAUAGAGGAGACGAGAAUUUUUUCUGAAACCACCUCGCUGGCUCCAAACCAAGUGUGGGAAAGCAAGAACAUCAAUCUUUCCCCUUUUAGAACAAGUUUUCUUUUUUCGAAGGGAAAAAUUCCAGGCUCCAUCUUUCUUUAUGUGCCUUCCAGGCAGAGACCCCCCGACCCGCAGCUCCAGGGCUGGGUUGCCAAUGUGACCAAGCAGACGGGCCCCCCCGCCAGCACCUACCUGAGGCCUGCUGCUCAUUCCUACAAGGCGCUCUGGGGUGUGAGUCGGAGCUGCACCCCAGAAACGGCUCCCGAGGAACAGUGUCUGUGAGGCUGGGUGCUGGGGCCGCCUGCACCCCCCUUCCCCUCCCCAGAAAUGGCUCCUGAGGAGCAGUGUCUGUGAGGCUGGGUGCUGGGGCCGCCUGCACCCCCCUUCCCCUCCCAGGGCCCUGCAGGAGGCUGCAGGUGGGCACAGACUCACAGCAGCCUCUGGAAAGGGCUGCAGAGGGACUUGCUGGCCGACUGGCCAGGGACCAGGCUGGGCAGAGACCCCCAGGCGGGAGGGUUAGGGCUCACCAAGAUGCUCAACUCAGAUGAGAGGCCACCUGCCCACACCCUGGCAGGCCAGCUCUCAAGACCAGGGCCUUCCGUCCUCUUCUACCCCUCCUCUCCCUCUCCCUGCCCACAAGGGUCUUCUUAUACCCAGGCACCGGCCCCCAUUCCUGUGCCCUCUCUCCUCACCCUGGCCCCACUCCAGGAGCUGCCUGUGGUCCUGAGGCCUGGAGCUGAAGCACCUUCAUGGCACCAGUAAUUGUAAUGGCCACAUGUUCCCCUGCGAAGAAAGGGAAUAAAAGACCUUUUCUAGCUGA